GACGAACGCUGGCGGCGUGCUUAACACAUGCAAGUCGAGCGGUAAGGCCCUUUCGGGGGUACACGAGCGGCGAACGGGUGAGUAACACGUGGGUGACCUGCCCUCAGCUCUGGGGAUAAGCCCGGGAAACUGGGUCUAAUACCGGAUAUGACUCCACGGUGCAUGUCGUGGGGUGGAAAGCCUUGUGCGGCUGAGGAUGGGCCCGCGGCCUAUCAGCUUGUUGGUGGGGUGAUGGCCACCAAGGCGACGACGGGUAGCCGGCCUGAGAGGGCGACCGGCCACACUGGGACUGAGACACGGCCCAGACUCCUACGGGAGGCAGCAGUGGGGAAUCUUGCGCAAUGGGCGAAAGCCUAGACGCAGCGACGCCGCGUGA
rnacentral:rRNA from 1 species